AUGUGUCAUCUAGAUUUCUUCACCGAGUUUUCAGCAAAAACACCAAAAGUUGAGGCUAAUGACCCUCAACUUGUGAAGCUUGUAUUUUUCUUGCAAAAUUCAUACAUCUUUUUAAUGAAAGUUGGACUCUCUAUGAUGACAAUGUGUUGUCUAGGUUGCUAG
rnacentral:rRNA from 1 species